UCUUCAAUCUAUAUGUAUACAGAACCUCCCCUCGUGGUCUGCCUCCACCCUCUCGCUCCUUUCCCCGCUCCCCGCCGCCCUGCCCACUCUCCCUCACUGACUUUCAUGCUCUCUCGUGCUUUCGCCAAGCAGCCAGAGUGUCUCGUAUUGAUCGAGCAGCCCCCACUGUAAGUCUUUGGCGCGUGUUACAGAGGUUCGCAGGAACAAGCAGAGUCCAGGACGUUGGAUGAAAAGGACAAGAGAGUGAUGGCGUGCUUCCGAUUCAUUGGUAAAUGUCUCUUCCACGAGGAGAUCAGGUCCAACGGAUGCAUCGACAUGCCUCUAGGAUAUUACUAUACAUAAGCCCUUGAAACGUCUGCCUGGACCCACGUUACGUCAGACUAUCAUGAAAGGUGCAAAAGUCUAUACGAACGCUCAACGGAGGGGACUAUGAGGUCCUGUCAAAAUUCAUGGCAUUGUUCGUUAGCACGGUGCCAAAUGCGAAUUCACGGAUGCCAAUUUCAGGGGAGGAACACAAAACAUCGCAGAUGUACACCGGCUCGAAGAAAAGAGCACAUGGCCUACAGUCACGUGUCCUUUGUCAUGGAAGAUCGAUCCGAACGGAAAUUUCCACUAGAAGAGGAGCCUCUCCUACCGUAGAAGAACAUUCGCGCAAUUCUAAUCGAAUCAUUGGUCCACCGAUUCUCCACUACGUUAUUUCACUAUGGUGUCCCUCCGCUGAUAUUUCUGGGAAUGCUUCUCAUGCUUGUAGCACGGUGCAGCAAGUACGGUUAGUAAUUGGAUCGUCCAUUAUGUAAAGAGGCGUCUUGAUGUUUAGACGAGAGCCUUUAUUAUGCACAACAAUCGCAACGAACCUGAGCCAGAGCGAGCGGACUGGUCGCUGCUCUAGAGGCCGAUCAAUACACGCUACGGAAAGGUCAGCAGCACUUACGGCUACGUACGGAAUCACGUACCGGCGACACACCUCUCUCGCGGAAAGAUAUCGAUCUCUUCAUUUUGAACGAGAAUAACGAACGAGGAUGCUAGUAACGUUCGUUUCGACAGACUGCAUUCCCAAGUGAUUUCGUGGCCUAGGGGGUUCCCGAAAUACUAUACUCAUGGGGUAACGGAUAGCGAAGACCUCGGUCCUGUUUAAAAAUAGUUCAAGACACCAGAAGCCAUCAUGGAUCUAUGCCUUAGAGACUGUGAUAUAAAUAAGAUCCUUCUUUUCAGAUCACUGAGAUUCGCUGUUUUUGGAUUAAAGCGGUUGACGCGAGAAGACAAUAGCUUAUUCUUUGAAAUCGCUGCACCGUUAGAUUUCACGGACGCUGUGAUAUGAUGGAUCUCUUUGGGAUCAGAUUGUCGUUCUGUUAAUCGAACCGUCACGCCUUCCAUCAAUAUGAUGGAUUGAUAGUAGCUAGACAGUAUUUAACCUAUGGAGUUUCCCAGAUGGUCCAUACAUCCGGAUACGCUGAUGGCCAGGGAAAGAGAAGGGCAAGGGAGUGAAGGGCAAGGGAGCAGUAAAGAACGAGGGUUGCAACGGAAGGGAGAUGUCCCAGAUUCGAAAACCUUGACCCAAUGAUUCGCCUCUGGAGCUACAGAGCGAGGCUUCGGAACAUAUUCAGCUUAGUGCGGAAAUCAUCUCUUGGUUAUU